rnacentral:rRNA from 1 species
GUAUUAUUUUAGUUAAAAGUAAAUUCGCUGAUAGAGUGGGCAUGCGUUCCAUUAGGUAGUUGGUGAGGUAACGGCUCACAAGCCUACGAUGGAUAGGGGAACUGAGAGGUUGGUCCCCCACACUGGUACUGAGACACGGACCAGACUCCUACGGGAGGCAGCAGUGAGGAAUAUUGGUCAAUGGGCGAGAGCCUGAACCAGCCAAGUCGCGUGAAGGAAGAAGGAUCUAUGGUUCGUAAACUUCUUUUGCAGGGGAAUAAAGUGCGGGACGUGUCCUGUUUUGUAUGUACCCUGAGAAUAAGGAUCGGCUAACUCCGUG